rnacentral:rRNA from 1 species
GAUGAACGCUGGCGGCGUGCUUAACACAUGCAAGUCGAGCGGAAGGGCCAGGCUUUUGUGGGGUUCACGAGAGGCGAGGGCGUGAGUAACACGUGUGUAACCUGCACUUAACUUUGGGAUAACAUCAGGAAAAAGGGGCUAAUACCGGGUAUGAGAUCCUGAUCCAUGGGGGGGGAUGGAGAGUUUCGGCGGUUGGGGAUGGAAUCGAGGGUUAUCAGCUUGAUGGUGGGGUAGGGGAGUACAAAGGUUUUGACGGGUAGCCGGCCUGAGAGGGUGACCGGCCACAAUGGGACUGAGAUACGGCCCAGACUCCUACGGGAGGCAGCAGUGGGGAAUAUUGCACAAUGGGGGGAAGUCUGAUGCAGCAAUGUCGCGUGCGGGAUGACGGCUUACGGGUUGUAAACCUCUUUCUCCGGUGACGAAGCGUGAGUGACGGUAAUUGGUAAAGAAGCACCGGCUAACUACGUG